UUUUUUUUUUUUUAAUUUUUAUUAAAAUUUUUAUUUGAAAUUACCUUAUCUUAAGAGAUCACGACACCAUUUACGCUUCAGACGUCAGGGGGGAUUACCAGGUUAAUUUUAAUGUUACAACAUUAAAAAUCUACUAUUUAUAAAUAGUAUAUGUGUAAUGUAUAGUUAGUUCAAACUGAAUAAUUUGUGUAUAAAGUCAUCAUUUGUUUUACAUUAGGUACAUACGAUAUCAAUUUAAUCAAACCAGCUUAAUCAAGCAGUUCAUCCAAUACUUCACAAAAGAAUCAUUCUGGUAUACUAAAUUACAAUUGGAGUAGUCCUUGGAAAUAGCAGUACAAAAUACUAUUGAAAAAAUUUGACCCAUAGAGAAUAAAUCAAGAGUGGAAGCUGAAGAUUUUUAUUCUUUAAUUCCUUUCAUUAAUGAUGAACAAUUAACUUUUUUUGAAGAAAAACUGUUAAAUAGAACUUAUAGGUAAAUGAAUUCAAGAGAUUACAAAAAAAAGUUGAAUUCUACUGUGUUUGGUCCGUUUGAUAUCACUUUUUUGUGACAUUGUAUUACAACAAUACAGCUAUGUAGGCCAAAAGGGGAAGAAAGAUGUGUAUAUGAUGUAUAUAUAAGAUGUGAAACAAUAAGAAAAGUUAAUAAAUUUACUAAUUUCACUAACAGGGAAAUUGAAGAACCUUUGAAAAUUUAUUUGGCUGGUUCUAGUUUCAGGUUAAUUAGUG